UACGUAGGGGCAAGCGUUGUCCGGAUUUAUUGGGCGUAAAGAGCGUGUAGGCGGCCGUACAGGUCAGCUGUGAAAACUCGAGGCUCAACCUCGAGACGUCGGUUGAAACCGUACGGCUAGAGUCCGGAAGAGGAGAGUGGAAUUCCCGGUGUAGCGGUGAAAUGCGCAGAUAUCGGGAAGAACACCUAUGGCGAAGGCAGCUCUCUGGGACGGUACUGACGCUGAGACGCGAAAGCGUGGGGAGCGAACAGG
rnacentral:rRNA from 1 species